GAUGAACGCUGGCGGCGUGCCUAAUACAUGCAAGUCGAGCGAACGGACGAGACUCUUGCUUCUCUGAUGUUAGCGGCGGACGUGUGAGUAACACGUGGAUAACCUACCUAUAAGACUGGGAUCACUUCGGGAAACCGGCGCUAAUACCGGAUGAUAUUUUGCACCGCAUGGUUCAAAAGUGAAAUACGGUCUUGCUGUCACUUCUAGAUGGUUCCGCGCUGUAUUAGCUAGUUGGUACGGUAACGGCUUACCAAGGCGACGAUGCGUAGACGACCUGAGAGGGGGAUCGGCCACACUGGAACGGGGACACGGACAAGACGCCUAAGGGAGGCAGCAGAAGGGAAUGGGAGGCAAUGGGCGAAAGCAUGACGGAGCAAGGCGGAGUGAGUGAUGAAGGUCUUCGGAUCGUAAAAAUCGGUUAUGAGGGAAGAACAGAUGUGGAAGGAAAUGAGCAGAGCGUGACGGUAACGAAUCAGAAAGCAACGGCUAACUACGUG
rnacentral:rRNA from 1 species